rnacentral:rRNA from 1 species
CGUAGGUGGCAAGCGUUGUCCGGAUUUAUUGGGUUUAAAGGGUGCGUAGGCGGCUUGAUAAGUCAGUGGUGAAAGCCGAUCGCUUAACGAUCGAACUGCCAUUGAUACUACCAGGCUUGAGUAUAGAUGAGGUAGGCGGAAUUGACAGUGUAGCGGUGAAAUGCAUAGAUAUUGUCAAGAACACCAAUUGCGAAGGCAGCUUACUAAGUUAUAACUGACGCUGAGGCACGAAAGUGCGGGGAUCAAACAGGAUUAGAUACCCUGGUAGUCCGCACCGUAAACGUUGAAUACUCGAUGUGUGCGAUAUACAGUACGCGUCUAAGCGAAAGUGAUAAGUAUUCCACCUGGGGAGUACGCUCGCAAGAGUG